GGGGAAGUUUGGUGAGGUGUGGAAGGCUCGAGCUCUCAAUGUCCUCUCAAGUGGACAGUGGGACUUCGUGGCUGUGAAGAAGUGCAAAGGCAAUGCCACAGAGGCAGUACGACAAGACUUCAAACAUGAAAUUGAACUCAUGAAGUCGUUACCGAAGCAUCCACAUGUUGUGAACUAUCUCAGUUCUUCUACCAAAGCAGGUUCUGAUAUGCUGUUACUGGAGCUUGCUCCACUGGGCAAUCUGCUCAACCUUUUACGCUCAAGACGCCCGAAACCGGGUGCUGGAA